GACCCGCACCGCCGAGACCCUCUUGUCAGUUCAAGGGCAGGACAGAAACUCUGCAAGCGGAGUCUUGCGAACAGGAAAUUUCUCAUUGACAAGUAAUGAUUUGAGGCUGCUUCCGCGAUACCCGAAACCCAGCACAGAGCAACGGAAGAAGUGGGACAUGAAUUAUAAUGUCACGCCUGCUCACAUCUUUGCCCCCGUCCACAUAAUGGAACUGAAUUCAUAACGCCUUUCAGAAAUGAGGGAGGAAGGGAGAAGGAGAGCGAGAUAAAAACAUCAAUGAUGAGA